GGGGCGGUGGUCUAGCUUGGUUUAGGAUACCAGCUUCGGGACCCACCUGCGGAAAAGCUGGAGGACCGGGGUUCAAAUCCCCGCCGCCCCA
rfam:Candidate divison MSBL1 archaeon SCGC-AAA261G05 AAA261G05_Contig_26, whole genome shotgun sequence.